UACGGAGGGGGCUAGCGUUGUUCGGAAUUAUUGGGCGUAAAGAGCUCGUAGGCGGUUUGUCGCGUCUGCUGUGAAAACUGGGGGCUCAACCCCCAGCCUGCAGUGGGUACGGGCAGACUAGAGUGCGGUAGGGGAGAUUGGAAUUCCUGGUGUAGCGGUGGAAUGCGCAGAUAUCAGGAGGAACACCGAUGGCGAAGGCAGAUCUCUGGGCCGUAACUGACGCUGAGGAGCGAAAGCAUGGGGAGCGAACAGG
rnacentral:rRNA from 1 species